GAUGAACGCUGGCGGCGUGCCUAAUACAUGCAAGUCGAGCGAACAGACGAGGAGCUUGCUCCUUUGACGUUAGCGGCGGACGGGUGAGUAACACGUAGGUAACCUACCUAUAAGACUGGGAUAACUUCGGGAAACCGGAGCUAAUACCGGAUCAUAUUUCGAACCGCAUGGUUCGAUAGUGAAAGAUGGCUUUGCUAUCACUUUUAGCUGGACCUGCGCCGUAUUAGCUAGUUGGUAAGGUAACGGCUUACCAAGGCAACGAUACGUAGCCGACCUGAGAGAGUGAUCGGACACACUGGAACUGAGACACGGUCCAGACUCCUACGGGAGGCAGCAGUAGGGAAUCUUCCGCAAUGGGCGAAAGCCUGACGGAGCAACGCCGCGUGAGUGAUGAAGGUCUUCGGAUCGUAAAACUCUGUUAUUUGGGAAGAACAAACGUGUAAGUAACUGUGCACGUCCUGACGGUACCUAAUCAGAAAGCCACGGCUAACUACGUG
rnacentral:rRNA from 1 species